AUUGAACGCUGGCGGCAGGCCUAACACAUGCAAGUCGAGCGGAUGAAGUGAGCUUGCUCCUGGAUUCAGCGGCGGACGGGUGAGUAAUGCCUAGGAAUCUGCCUGGUAGUGGGGGAUAACGUCCGGAAACGGGCGCUAAUACCGCAUACGUCCUGAGGGAGAAAGUGGGGGAUCUUCGGACCUCACGCUAUCAGAUGAGCCUAGGUCGGAUUAGCUAGUUGGUGGGGUAAAGGCCUACCAAGGCGACGAUCCGUAACUGGUCUGAGAGGAUGAUCAGUCACACUGGAACUGAGACACGGUCCAGACUCCUACGGGAGGCAGCAGUGGGGAAUAUUGGACAAUGGGCGAAAGACUGAUCCAGCCAUGCCGCGUGUGUGAAGAAGGUCUUCGGAUUGUAAAGCACUUUAAGUUGGGAGGAAGGGCAGUAAGUUAAUACCUUGCUGUUUUGACGUUACCAACAGAAUAAGCACCGGCUAACUUCGUG
rnacentral:rRNA from 1 species